rnacentral:rRNA from 1 species
CACGUAGGGUGCGAGCGUUGUCCGGAAUUAUUGGGCGUAAAGAGCUCGUAGGCGGUGUGUCGCGUCGGCCGUGAAAACCUGCGGCUUAACUGUGGGCGUGCGGUCGAUACGGGCAUCACUGGAGUUCGGCAGGGGAGACUGGAAUUCCUGGUGUAGCGGUGAAAUGCGCAGAUAUCAGGAGGAACACCAGUGGCGAAGGCGGUGGUCUGGGCCGGAACUGACGCUGUAGAGCGAAAGCGUGGGGAGCGAACAGG